rnacentral:rRNA from 1 species
UACGGGGGGGGGUAAGCGUUGUUCGGAAUUACUGGGCGUAAAGGGCUCGUAGGCGGCCAACUAAGUCAUACGUGAAAUCCCUCAGCUUAACUGGGGGAACUGCGUGUGAUACUGGAUGGCUUGGAUUUGGGAGAGGGAUGCGGAAUUCCAGGUGUAGCGGUGAAAUGCGUAGAUAUCUGGAGGAACACCGGUGGCGAAGGCGGCAUCCUGGACCAACAUUGACGCUGAGGAGCGAAAGCUAGGGGAGCAAACGGG